ensembl:misc_RNA Metazoa_SRP Metazoan signal recognition particle RNA
GCCAGGCGCGGUGGCUGGUGUCUGUAGUUCCAGCUACUCGGGAGGCCGAGGCAGGAGGAUUGCUUGAGCCCGGGAGCUCUGGGCUGCAGUGCGCUCUGCCGAUUGGGUGUCUCCAGUAAGUUUGGCAUCAAUAUGGUGACCUCCUGGGUGCAGGGGACCAUCAGGUUGCCUAAGGAGGGUGAACCAGCCCAGGCUGGCAACGGAGCAAGUCAAAACUCCUGUGCUGAUCAGUAGUGGGAUUAUGCUUGUGAAUAGCCACUGCACUCCAGCCUGGGCAACAUAAUAAGACCCCAUACCCU